rnacentral:rRNA from 1 species
UACGAAGGGAGCUAGCGUUACUCGGAAUCACUGGGCGUAAAGCGUAUGUAGGCGGAACUACAAGUCAGAGGUGAAAUCCCCAGGCUCAACCUGGGAAUUGCCUUUGAAACUGUAGUUCUUGAGUGUGGUAGAGGAUGGUGGAAUUUCCAGUGUAGAGGUGAAAUUCGUAGAUAUUGGAAAGAACACCGGUGGCGAAGGCGACCAUCUGGGCCAUUACUGACGCUGAGAUACGAAAGCGUGGGGAGCAAACGGG